rnacentral:rRNA from 1 species
UACGAAGGGGGCUAGCGUUGCUCGGAAUUACUGGGCGUAAAGCGCACGUAGGCGGCGAUUCAAGUUAGAUGUGAAAGGCCUGGGCUCAACCCGGGGAACUGCAUUUUGAUACUGAAUUGCUAGAGUCCAAGAGAGGGUAGUGGAAUUCCCAGUGUAGAGGUGAAAUUCGUAGAUAUUGGGAAGAACACCAGUGGCGAAGGCGGCUACCUGGCUUGGUACUGACGCUCAGGUGCGAAAGCGUGGGGAGCGAAGAGG